rnacentral:rRNA from 1 species
GGCCAGACUCCUACGGGAGGCAGCAGUGGGGAAUAUUGGGCAAUGGGCGCAAGCCUGACCCAGCAACGCCGCGUGAAGGAAGAAGGCUUUCGGGUUGUAAACUUCUUUUGACAGGGAAGAGCAGAAGACGGUACCUGUCGAAUAAGCCACGGCUAACUACGUGCCAGCAGCCGCGGUAAUACGUAGGUGGCAGGCGUUGUCCGGAUUUACUGGGUGUAAAGGGCGUGUAGCCGGGCUUACAAGUCAGAUGUGAAAUCCGGGGGCUCAACCCCCGAACUGCAUUUGAAACUGUAGGUCUUGAGUAUCGGAGAGGCAGGCGGAAUUCCUAGUGUAGCGGUGAAGUGCGUAGAUAUUAGGAGGAACACCAGUGGCGAAGGCGGCCUGCUGGACGACAACUGACGGUGAGGCGCGAAAGCGUGGGGAGCAAACAGGAUUAGAUACCCCAGUACC